rnacentral:rRNA from 1 species
AUUGAACGCUGGCGGCAUGCUUUACACAUGCAAGUCGAACGGCAGCGCGGGCUUAGGCCUGGCGGCGAGUGGCGAACGGGUGAGUAAUACACCGGAACGUGCCCAGCAGUGGGGGAUAGCACGGCGAAAGCCGGAUUAAUACCGCAUACGACCUGAGGGUGAGACCGGGGGAUCUUCGGACAUCGCGCUCUUGGAGCGGUCGAUGGCAGAUUAGCUAGUUGGUGGGGUAAAGGCCUACCAAGGCGACGAUCUGUAGCUGGUCUGAGAGGACGACCAGCCACACUGGGACUGAGACACGGCCCAUACUCCUACGGGAGGCAGCAGUGGGGAAUUGUGGACAAUGGGCGAAAGCCUGAUCCAGCAAUGCCGCGUGUGUGAUGAAGGCCUUCGGGUUGUAAAGCACUUUUGGCGGGAACGAAAAGGACUGUGCCAAUACCACGGUUCGAUGACGGUACCCGCAGAAUAAGCAACGGCUAACUACGUG